rfam:Triticum aestivum genome assembly, contig: Triticum_aestivum_CS42_TGACv1_scaffold_580318_7BL
GUUGUACUCCCUCCGUCCCAAAAUUCUUGUCUUAAAUUUAUCUAAAUAUGAAUGUAUCAAGUCAUAUUUUAGUAUUAAAUACAUCCGUAUCUCGAUAAAUCUAAGAUAAGAAUUUUGGGACAGAGGGAGUACUAA